UCCGGUUGAUCCCGGCGGAGGUUACUGCUAUCGAGGUUCGACUAAGCCAUGCGAGUCGAAUGUAGCAAUACAUGGCGAACUGCUCAGUAACACGUGGACAACCUGCCCUUAGGUUGGGUAUAAACCCGGGAAACUGGGUAUAAUACCCGAUAGGUCUCGAUUGCUGGAAUGCAUCGAGAUUUAAAGCUCCGGCGCCUAAGGAUGGGUCUGCGGCCUAUCAGGUAGUAGUGGGUGUAGCGUACCUACUAGCCUACGACGGGUACGGGUUGUGAGAGCAAGAGCCCGGAGAUGGAUUCUGAGACACGAAUCCAGGCCCUACGGGGUGCAGCAGGCGCGAAAACUUUACAAUGCUGGCAACAGCGAUAAGGGAACCUCGAGUGCCAGGUUACAAAUCUGGCUGUCGAGAUGCCUAAAAAGCAUUUCAUAGCAAGGGCCGGGCAAGACCGGUGCCAGCCGCCGCGGUAACACCGGCGGCUCGAGUGGUAACCGUUAUUAUUGGG
rnacentral:rRNA from 1 species